UACGGAGGGUGCGAGCGUUAUCCGGAAUUACUGGGUUUAAAGGGUGCGUAGGCGGCUAUGUAAGUCAGGUGUGAAAGUUUGCGGCUCAACCGUAAAAUUGCUUUUGAUACUGCAUGGCUAGAAUUAGGAUGAGGUCAGCGGAAUGUGGCAUGUAGCGGUGAAAUGCAUAGAUAUGCCAUAGAACACCAAUUGCGAAGGCAGCUGGCUAGACCUGGAUUGACGCUGAGGCACGAAAGCGUGGGGAGCGAACAGG
rnacentral:rRNA from 1 species